rnacentral:rRNA from 1 species
CCUCCAAGGCUAAAUACUCGUAAUCGACCGAUAGUGAACCAGUACCGUGAGGGAAAGGCGAAAAGAACCCCGGGAGGGGAGUGAAAUAGAUCCUGAAACCGCAUGCAUACAAACAGUGGGAGCCCCUCCUUUAAUGGCCUUCGAGGGCUUUGACAUCGACGCGUAGCGACGGCGGCAAAAGUUCGAAGGGAGGAGUGAAAUGGACCUCUUGGCAGUUCGGAGAGAGGGCCAUUAAAGGAGGGGUGACUGCGUACCUUUUGUAUAAUGGGUCAGCGACUUACGUUCUGUAGCGAGCUUAACCGAAUAGGGGAGGCGUAGCGAAAGCGAGUCUGAUAAGGGCGCUUUAGUUGCAGGGCGUAGACCCGAAACCAGAUGAUCUACCCAUGGCCAGGAUGAAGGUGCCGUAACAGGUACUGGAGGUCCGAACCCACUAAUGUUGAAAAAUUAGGGGAUGAGCUGUGGGUAGGGGUGAAAGGCUAAACAAAUCUGGAAAUAGCUGGUUCUCCCCGAAAGCUAUUUAGGUAGCGCCUCAGGUAUCACUCGCGGGGGUAGAGCACUGUAAUGGUUGGAGGGGUCAUUGCGAUCUACUCCGCCAUAGCAAACUCCGAAUACCGCGAAGUGCGAGCCUGGGAGACAGACGGUGGGUGCUAACGUCCAUCGUCAAGAGGGAAACAACCCAGACCGCCAGCUAAGGUCCCCAAGCCAUGGUUAAGUGGAAAACGAAGUGGGAAGGCAUAGACAGUCAGGAAGUUGGCUUAGAAGCAGCCAUCCUUCAAAGAAAGCGUAAUAGCUCACUGAUCGAGUCGUCCUGCGCGGAAGAUGUAACGGGGCUCAAACCAUGCACCGAAGCUGCGGAUGUGCGUAAGCACAUGGUAGGGGAGCGUUCUGUAGGUCUGCGAAGGUGAGGGGUAACCCUUGCUGGAGAUAUCAGAAGUGCGAAUGCUGACAUGAGUAGCGAUAAAGCGUGUGAAAAGCACGCUCGCCGAAAGCCCAAGGUUUCCUGCGCAACGUUCAUCGGCGCAGGGUGAGUCGGCCCCUAAGGCGAGGCCGAAAGGCGUAGUCGAUGGGAAACGGGUCAAUAUUCCCGUACCGAUCUGUAAUGCGAUGGGGGGACGGAGAAGGUUAGCUCAGCCGGGUGUUGGACGUCCCGGUUUAAGCGUGUAGGCGUGCUGCAUAGGCAAAUCCGUGCGGCUUAGUCGAGGCGUGAUGACGAGGACCUUCGGGUCUGAAGUGAGUGAUACCCUGCUUCCAGGAAAAGCCUCUAAGCUUCAGUUACAGAUUGACCGUACCGCAAACCGACACAGGUGGGCAGGAUGAAAAUUCUAAGGCGCUUGAGAGAACUCAGGAGAAGGAACUCGGCAAAUUGAUACCGUAACUUCGGGAGAAGGUAUGCCUCGGUAGCGUGAAGCCCCUCGCGGGUGGAGCGUGAUGAGGUCGCAGAGAAUCGGUGGCUGCAACUGUUUAAUAAAAACACAGCACUCUGCAAAGGCGAAAGCCGACGUAUAGGGUGUGACGCCUGCCCGGUGCCGGAAGGUUAAGUGAUGGGGUGCAAGCUCUUGAUCGAAGCCCCGGUAAACGGCGGCCGUAACUAUAACGGUCCUAAGGUAGCGAAAUUCCUUGUC